rnacentral:lncRNA from 1 species
GCUGGGAGCUGUCCACACUGCACCUUGUUGACCAAGUGGCGCUGCAGCAGAGACCGGGCAGGGAUGUCCAGGCUCCUGCGCUCCACAGGAAACACCUCCCUCCUCCCUAUCAGGCUGUCCCUCCACACCCUGCACGUCUCGGCCCUGACCAGAGAGCUCACGGCUGUGUGAAGCCAGGUGCCCUGGGUGCGGCUCCCUGAAGAAUUCCGCUUCUUUCCGACUGAACAAACGGAAAGGUGGUGUGCUGCACACAGUGUCCACGUCGGCAAGUGUUUCCCUAACAGUAUAUCUGUUUCAGGAAAAAGCUUGUGUGGAGAUAUGUGCUUUGCUAGCAGGCAGAAGGCUCAUUUCUGAUGAAACCAUUCAUUUUGCGAGCAGAUCUUUCCAUUUAGAACAGCAUCUCCCUGUGCACAACGACAGCAAGGAGGAUUCUGGCAAGACCCCAGUGCUGGACCAAACCGGCCGGGAGACGAGGGUGCAUCGCCAAAGGCAGGCGGAG